CCGAGACUGGGGCCAGGGCAGGGACUGGGGCCAGGGCUAGUGGGGGCCAGGGCUAGGGCGGAGACUGGGGCCAGGGCAGGGACUGGCCAGCAAAUGGGCAGGAGGGAAGUUUCACAGUGCUGCAAGUGUUUUAAAACUGCACUGUGGUGAUGGCUGCACAGCUGUAAAUGUUUUCUAAAAACCAUUGACUGUACUUAACUGGGUGAACUGUGUGAUAUGCAAAUCAUAACUCAAUUAAACUGUUACAAGUGAAAGGAAAAAACAGAACUAGAGGUGGGAACCCACAGAACUUCCCCACCAGACCACUGAUAGUGCCUGUGACAGCGUAUGUCCUCACCCGCCGCCACCCCUGACUCAGCCUACGUCUGUGAGGAGCCAGCAGAGCUGGCACCAGCGUCAGGCCUCAUUCCUUCCCUCCGUGCCUGGCAGGUUCAAACAGCACCCCCACCUUCACCUAAACUCUAACAGGCAUCACAGUCCUGCUUCUCCCAUCAUAAUCAGUCAAGGUCCAGGAACCCCAGCUCACUGGCCUUCGAUGCCCUUCUAGCUACACUCACUGCUGGCCGCACCCACUCAAGGGGAAGAAGCUCCCACCCAGCACAACACGAGAAAAGCUGCAUCAGCAGUGGAUGGAGAAGAGGGCAGAGCACAGAGAAUGUAAUUAACUCAGGCUGGGAGGGGUACACGAGACGGGAGCUGCAUCCCAGGCCGGCAGCUGAGCUGCACCUUGAAGGGGAGGAAAUCUUGCCACCUAGACAAGCCAGAUACCAGGAGGGACUCCUUGGGAAAGAACAGCAUCCACAGAGGCGCACAGACAUGGAAAAGCAGGUGUGCUCGAGCACAGACAGGACUGCUCGCUGUGGGGGGGCUAGGGUGGCAGGCAGAGAGGACGUGGUUGCCUCUCGCUGCCAGCCCUGGGUCUAGGGGGUUGGAGGUGGGUAGGACCUCAGCUGCAGUCUGGAGAACAAAGCUCCUCUCCAAGUACGUGUGCCAGUGUUGCUGCUGGGCAGGGCCACAAGUGCACACCCUCACGGGAAGCUGGCCACCCAGCCACCCGUGCUGAGCUCAGCCCCAACAAGGUGCCACGCAGGGCACAGGACCGAGGGACUGGGAAAGCUGAGAGCCACCAGGGAAGAAGGGGGCGGAGACAGGACCUGGCAGGGAGCCAGCAGUGCCCUGCCUGCCCACAGAGGUCAGGAGCCCAUUCCCUACCCCCUUCCCCACCCGCCACAUUUCCCACUUGACUGAUGCUUGAAGAGGCCCAACUAUGCAUCAAGAUCACUGGUCUGAUAAGGGCAGGGCCAACCCCAGGCUCCAUUCAGGCCAGGAGCCCCAGUGUGGUCUCGACAUGGCCACAACCAGUGUCGUAGGCUUUUGAAUACCCUCCUCUAAGCCUACCAGGCAGGCUCCCAGAAAGCUGCUCCGACACCUGACACAGCUCUGGGGAGACUCCUGCCACACCACCUUCAAAAUCAAAGGCAGUGGGGGGGCGCCUAACUCGCUCUUCCCAUCCCUGCCCACCUAUUGGCAAGAGGGAAAAGGAAGAGCAGGAGAAGACACUGGCCAGGUAGGGGCCAGGACGCACACACGCAGACUCUAAAGACCAUGCUCCCGGAGAUGGGCCUGAGUGUCCUUCACUGAAGGAAAAAACCAGAGGCAGCAUUUUCUGUGAGCUGGGGUGAGACCACGUGGCUCCUGGGAAGUUCGGCUGAUCAGGCAUCGUCAGGCACCCAGACCAGCCGCUCUUCCGACCUGCUGCAGAACCGUCAGACCCUGAGCCUCUGGCCAGGACCCAGAGACAGUACAGGCACCCAAAUCCUCUCCCCAGGACAGGAGCCAGAUAGAUGCUCGACACAGCACCACGGCCUCAAGGGUUGCACUGGAUGAGCUGCGGCUUUAUUCUCUCACCAUUAAAGGUUAAAAGCCCAUAUAGGUUUUUGUUGGUAUCUUUGGUAAGGUAUUUUCAUCAUUAUGUGGACUCUCCAAUGGGCUGGAAGCAAAGCUGGAGCUGACCGCUCAGUACCUGCCCUACGGAGGGGUCCAAGUCUGGACACUUUCUUCGGUCCCACUGCACUAAACUGGAACACAACCUGCUCUUCCCCGGGAGGCAUGCCUGUCAGGGGUGCUGGGUGGUGCACUGCCACCAUCACAGGAUGGGGAGCAGACAGAGGGGCGUCCUGCAGCCU